rnacentral:lncRNA from 1 species
GAUUAAAACAGUUAGUAAUAUAUGAAACAGUUUGCAGUAAAAACUGAACUAUAGCAAAUUGUUAAUAAAGUAGAAUAACGGAGGGAUUUGUUUAAUAAACACAAUAACCACAACAUCUCUUUGUACAAUGAUAUACAACAAUAUCACAUAAUACAACUAAAAUUACUGGAAUGUUAAAACAAAGCACAACCUUUAUAUCACAACACAGAAAUUUCUUAAAAAUAUUUAUAGUACUGUUGAUUCAUUGUUAUUCAUUGAGGGGCGUAAAGGGGGGUAUCUGCACGGAAGAACACGAAAUAAAAUUGCCAUUUCACGAUGAACAAACAAUUAAAAAUUUCUUGCACAUUGAUCUUUUUCCCUAUUUCACGAAACAUGGUGAAUAACGAACCUUUUUCACGGCUGCACGUGAAAUGAAAAUGGCAAAACAUGUUGCACGAAAAUAACCCUUUACCACCCUCUUCAUUGGAUACAAAUUUUCUUGGAUUUCUUGGGUAAAAGUUGAACCAUGAAUUUAAAAGAAUUACAAAUGUCCUAAAGUCUUCAUUGCAGACUUUGCUAAAGCAGUGAAAUUAGAUUUCCAAGAAAAUGCAAAUUUUCCUUAAUCCAAGGAAAUUUGUACCCACAAAAAUAAGAUGAAUCCACAGUAUAACAAAUGAAAAAGUUUGAGAGUUUUCUCUCUAUAUCAGAUUAUAUUUCACUACAUCAACCUAUAUACUGCUUAAAUCUCCACUUGAAUACCCAUCAAAAACCAAACAAGAACGUGUUCAUAGUACAAAGAUGCCCCAACCAUACUUAGCAUUUUUUUAUGUUCGGUAAACCAAGAUAUUGGGGUCAAAACUCUAAUUUAGCAUUCAAAUUAGAAAAAUCAUAUCAUAGGGAACAUAUGUUCUAAGUUUCAAGCUGACUGGACUUCAACUUAAUCAAAACUUCCUUGAUUAAAAACUUGACCAAAAACUUUAACCUUGAAGCGGGCCAGGAAAAAAAAUCAUAUUGCCCUUACUGGGGCAUAAAAUGUAUUCCUUUAAAGAUUCCUAACAAGCAGAUCCAUAUAGACAAGAAGAUUGUAUGAAAUUCAACAUCAAUGGUUCAACUUUUGAUUAAAGAUUGCACCUUCAAUCAUAAAGACAAACCUAUCUUAUCAGAGAAGAUUUAACAGCUGAACUAAUGACACUACUAAACACUCCAGAAUAGAUACAAUAAAUUGCUUAAUGAAACUUACUUAAACUUUUGGCAAUAUGUUCCAAUUUGAAUUAGAGAACUUGGUUAUCAUCAACGAAUAUUUUAAAACGUACCUGCAGUGGGCUUUUGUCCAGUAUACAAUAUAUAGAUAGUAUGAUGAGAUACAAACAAGCAAAACAGUACUUAUAAGGAGUAGUUGAUGUACCUCUAAUAGGCUUUAGUGCUGCAUUUCAUAGAUAAGUAAGUGUGACAUCAAGCAGAUAUACAAUUCUUAUAAAGAG